rnacentral:rRNA from 1 species
AACGAACGCUGGCGGCAUGCCUAACACAUGCAAGUCGAACGAGACCUUCGUGUCUAGUGGCGCACGGGUGCGUAACGCGUGGGAACCUGCCCUUAGGUUCGGAAUAACUCCCCGAAAGGGGUGCUAAUACCGGAUAAUGUCUUCUGACCAAAGAUUUAACGCGUUUGUAUGGGCCCGCGUUGUAUUAGCUGGUUGGUAGCGUAAAAGCCUACCAAGGCGACGAUCCAUAGCUGGUCUGAGAGGAUGGUCAGCCACACUGGGGCUGAGACACGGCCCAGACUACUACGGGAGGCAGCAAUGGGGAAUAUAGGACAAUGGGGGAAAGCCUGAACCAGCAAUGCCGCGUGAGUGAUGAAGGCGUUAGGGUUGUAAAGCUCUUUUACCCGGGAUGAUAAUGACGGUACCGGAAGAAUAAGCUCCGGCUAACUUCGUG